GCAGCAGCAGCAGCAGCGGCAGCGGCAGCGGCUUUCGUCUUUCUCUUCCACCCUCUUCGUGCCUGCAAUGUUCGCGCGCUCGCCGAGCUUACGCUCGUGCUGCUGCUGCUGCCGCUGCUGCUGCUGCUGC
rnacentral:sRNA from 1 species